AUUGAACGCUGGCGGCAUGCUUUACACAUGCAAGUCGGACGAGCGGCGGACGGGUGAGUAAUGCAUCGGGACCUGCCCGGUAGUGGGGGAUAACUGCUCGAAACGACGGCUAAUACCGCAUACUAUCCGAUCGGCCCAUGUGGGAUUAGCUGGUUGGUGGGGUAAAGGCCCACCAAGGCGACGAUCACUAGCGGGUCUGAGAGGAUGACCAGCCAAACUGGAACUGAGACACGGUCCAGACUCCUACGGGAGGCAGCAGUGGGGAAUAUUGCACAAUGGGCGCAAGCCUGAUGCAGCCAUGCCGCGUGUGUGAAGAAGGCCUUCGGGUUGAAAAGCACUUUCAGCGGGGAGGCGUUACCCGCAGAAGAAGCACCGGCUAACUCCGUGCCAGCAGCCGCGGUAAUAC
rnacentral:rRNA from 1 species